UCCGGUAAAUAUUGGAGUGGCACGUAAAAUGAAAUAAACAAACCCAGAGAAGAAAAAAUGAAACACAAGACACAGGGGUGGGGAUAUCAUACAAGGAGGGGCUUACAUGCAAUAAAGACCUAAUAAUCAAACAAAUACGAAAAGAAAUAAAGAAAUAAAAAAAAAACACAAAAUAAGAUAAAACAAAAACAGUCCAAAAAGAGUAGGGAUGCAGAGAAAAGACGGGGGUGCAAAAGAAAUUCGUUUGGUCAAGCUCCUUUGGACUUAGGCCUAACCUCUUUUUCAGAUCAGAGUAGGGUUUCUUCUUCAUCAUUUCAGAAACGAAACCCAGGUCUCCUCUUCUCCUUCAUUCACGGCAACCCCUGCCCCGGGCCCGAACACAAUCAUCGCAACCCUCUCUGGCCGGCCAAGAACGCUGCCGGAGCCGUCGCGGUCGUCGGAAGUGUCGCCGUUCGCGGUUCUCCUCCUUUCGUGCGCUACGAACGACCUUCUUCAUCUUCUCUUGCGCGGACCUUUCUUCCACCGAACCAGGCGCCAUGAUAAUCUUCGAGCUUGGCCAGAGGUCCUCGCCGGUCGUCGCCAAGAUCGUCGGCGACGUUACUCAUGGUGCUGAACAAGAUGGAGGGGAGAAUGAAAGAUGAACUGUUGUUCAGGUGUUGAACAAGAUAGGGGAGAAUGGAAAAUAAAUGGAUGAUGAAGAAGGUGUUUCUCUGUGCCAGUGGAAAUGGAUGUCAUGAAGACAAAGAGGAAUCAAUUUGUGUGUGAGAGAUGACUAUCGAAUGUUCUUCCCUCUCUGUAUGAAAAUGAUUUUGGGGUUUUUGAUAGUUGGAAGAUGAAUUUGAAGUUGGGUGGGAGAAUGAGAUUCAGUGAUGUGCGUGCUAGAGGAAUGGUUUCUCAGGAGGUCUCCCUGUUGAGUGAGUAGAGAGUGAAUAGAAAGGAGUUGAGAGUAGUGUCUGAGUGAAUGAUGUUGGUGCCUGGGUGAGGGGAGUCCUGUUUCUUGGGGUGGUUACGGGUGUGUGAAUGAUGAUGGUCUUAGGAAACGUGGUGAAGGCGGAGGUUUUUGGUCAGAGAUGAAUGAUGGAUGCCGUUGGAGAUGAGGAAUUGGGAGUGAAAGGGAAAUGUGGUUAGGGUGGAUACGGGUGAGAUGAGCAGAGGGGUGGAGAGCCAAAAAAAGAGUGUAUGUCCGUGUACCUGAAUGAUGAUGGUGCUCCCCAAAACGAAUUCCCUCUAACCUUUUCUCGCACUGCUCUCCUUCCAAAACGUGUCCUCUUUUGUGAACAAACUUUUUUUUCUUUCGUUUCUUUUUUUCUUUUUGUUUUCUUUUUAAAAUACUCAUAUGGAAAAUCAAAUAAUAAAAAAAUGAAAUAAAAUAAUAGUAAAAAACAGAAUUAAAAUCAUAAAAAGACAAAAUAAAAUAAGAUAAAAAAAAGAAAGACCUA
rnacentral:sRNA from 1 species